rnacentral:rRNA from 1 species
ACGAACGCUGGCGGCGUGCCUAAUACAUGCAAGUUGAGCGCUGAAGGUUGGUACUUGUACCAACUGGAUGAGCAGCGAACGGGUGAGUAACGCGUGGGGAAUCUGCCUUUGAGCGGGGGACAACAUUUGGAAACGAAUGCUAAUACCGCAUAAAAACUUUAAACACAAGUUUUAAGUUUGAAAGAUGCAAUUGCAUCACUCAAAGAUGAUCCCGCGUUGUAUUAGCUAGUUGGUGAGGUAAAGGCUCACCAAGGCGAUGAUACAUAGCCGACCUGAGAGGGUGAUCGGCCACAUUGGGACUGAGACACGGCCCAAACUCCUACGGCAGGCAGCAGUAGGGAAUCUUCGGCAAUGGACGAAAGUCUGACCGAGCAACGCCGCGUGAGUGAAGAAGGUUUUCGGAUCGUAAAACUCUGUUGGUAGAGAAGAACGUUGGUGAGAGUGGAAAGCUCAUCAAGUGACGGUAACUACCCAGAAAGGGACGGCUAACUACGUG